rnacentral:misc_RNA from 1 species
CUUCCCGUGUUGCGCGGACGAACGUUGGCUGCACGUUUUUAAAACAUGGAAAAAGUUGAGAAGUAUUAAAUACAAGUAUUAAAAUGGUCUGUAAAAUGAAUUGUUUUAACUCCGAAAGCUAAUGCGACGGCCUGGAGAUGCCCAAUACAUCAUAGAGUAGCUUUUGGCGGUCAUGGAGGAUAAAUACUGCAGUCGAUGUGAAAAGAAGGGGUUGAAAAGUAAACUAAAAUUCCAAUACUGCAAUUUUGAGGAAGGUAUUUUUUUAUGUGAAGACGACAUGUGUAUAUAUCCAUUUGGUGAAGACAACAUUGCUGGGUUUUUUAUCAAGGCACCAGGAUCUGAUGUGGUUACAGAGAAACAAGAUUGGAAAACUGAGUUUAAAUCAUUUGAGAAUACUUCAACAAUACAUUUACCAUCAAAUAUCCAAACAUCCCAAUUCUAUUGGUUGAAUUCAGAAAACCUUUGCUGGCUGGAUUCUGUCAUGACUAUCCUUGUAAACAACAGAUGUUUAGAACUUUGCCUCAAGAAACAACAAGUAAAGAAUUCCAUUCUACAACAACUUUUCUCAAAAUUUUUUAAAGCCCAAAGGCUUGGCCCAAAACAAGAAGGCAAAGAUGUCCUUUGCGAAGUGCGGAGAGAUGUAUUUCAUUAUCUGCAAGAAAAAAUGCAAUGUUCAAUGGGAGUGAAAGAUAGUGCCUUGGUGUCAUUAAAUGUUUUGCUGAACGAUUGUUCCGUUAUUAGUGAAAAAUUUAAUCAAGAAUGUGAAUGGACUUUUAAAUGUUCCUCAUGUGGUCACAUGCAAGUCAAUAGAUAUAACAAGUUGGUUGUCACAUUUCCAAAUACAACUGAUGAUUUUUCAAUGCCAUGCGGAGAGUUUUUAAGAUUGUGUCACAAGUGCAAGUCUCCUGGUCAAAGAAGUCAACUUCACCUUACACGGUUACCUCCGUGUGUGAUCGCACAUUUUACAGAAGGAGUGAAAAGCAAAAAUUUCUUUGAGUCUGGUUUUGUUUGUUAUGGAAAGGAGUACAAGCUGUGUCAAAUGAUUCAGUACAAGAGAGACCCGGAUCAUUUUAUCGCCUGGGUUCGAAAUCGAAAUGGCACGCAUUGGGCGGAAAUCGAUGACACGCGGAGUGUUGUUUGUAAAUGGGAAGAGGGUCCCCCUUCUUUUUCUCCUGGUCAAGUGCACAUCGCUGUUUGGGAGCGUGCAAAGUUAUACGUGAGUAAGUCGUCCGCCGUGCGUAUAAUUGAUGGGAAACUUUUGGGAAAGUCAAAGACUGUGUUGGAAAAUCCUAAGAAUAACGAUGCUUUAGCUGUCAAUGUGGACAAUGCAGAAUCUUCUUUAGCUUUCUGCAAAAAAGACAAAUUGAGUGAGUUUUGUUGCAGAAACCCAGUCGCUUCUAUUUGCCAUAAAAAGUUUCCUGAAAACGUGAUUGAUGGACAGAUGAAUUUGGUUUCAUUGUGCGAUAACGUUUCCUUAGAUAACAUUCGUUCCAAUCCUCUUAAAUUACAAGAACAAAAAAAGGAGAAAAAUGAUGAUGAAAUGAAAGAAGUAUCGUUUAACGAAAGUAAUUCCGUAAAAAAGGCUUGUGAGGAUUACAAUAACCGCAAAAGAAAGGACAGUUUUCCACCGUAUAUACCUAAAAGGAAAAGGAUUUCACCGGGCAAGGAUUCUUCCGACAGAAAUACAGAAGCAAGAUUUUGUCACAACCCAAGUGACAGUGGUUAUUCAAGUCCCGGCUCAAACGGUUCAGGUGCGAGUCUUCCAUCAACUCUUGAAUCUAAGGAAGCAAACUUAGUUCUUACUGAUCUACUUGAAACACUUGACGAUAUUGAUGGUGGUCUGGAUGGUGGCCAUUCGCUAGAUGUAAAUAGUGCAAAAGAAUCUGGUAGUAAUUUGGAUUCCCAGAAAUCAAUUUUGUGUUGUGGACAAAAUAUGACAAAAAAGUCUACAUUAAAUUCCGACUUAAAAAUGCCAACGUGUAUUUCAAAUAUGAACAUUGAUUUUUGUGAAGAUUUUUCUGUCGAAGAAAAAUUGGUGGUGAAAGACGAGGAUCUGAAAAGAUCAGUCGAGUCUUCCGGUGACUUUGUCGAUUUUGGGACAGUCUCAGACUGUGAAAACAAUUUUCUGAACGACAUUGAAGCUUCGCUCAAUUUGACUGACAUAAAGAUAAACGAUGUGGCCGAGCUGUUGCCUUGCGAUGAUAGAUUGACAAAGAACAGAUGGAACGAAGAUCAUUAUUUUUUUGAUAUUUUGAAUGAAGUAUUCCCCAAUAACUUGCUGGGUAAAGAGACCAGCAAACCUAAUUCCAUCAUCGAAGAAAAGGAUUAAAAGUCCAGCGAGAAAUGAAGUGAAAGGCGAUUUGAAAACCACGAGGUGGCGAUCGAAGGUGGACAGCAAGAUCGAAGCUCAGCAAGAUUGAAGAUUGUUCGAGGAAGAAGGAGUUCGCCGUUGACUAAAAGGUUUAUCUGAACAGCUAGUUGUCAAGAUGAAUGCGAAGACUCGCCCGGCCAAAUUCAAAAUGGCGAUGCCAAAGAAAACCAUCCACGUGGACCGUUCGCGGACCUUUCUGAGCAAGAUUGUUGUGCUGUCUGGUCAAAGUUAAGUAUUUUACUUUGAUGUUUGUGUGCCUUCGGCUAAUUGUUGGCCAGAAAUGACAAAAAGCCAUAUACAAUAUGAAAUAUUCUGCGUACAAGGUUAUCUAAAGUUUCGAACUUAAUUCUGCCUGCAAUGAUGAUAAUUUUUUACUGAAAAUUUAUGUCAUGAGCAACUUCCGCACCUAUAGACUGAAGCAGAACUGAACAUUUUGUCAUUAACGUUUAUCUCAACAGCCAGUUAUCAAGACGAACGUCAAGAGAACAGUUG